UGGUCCACUGUAGCUAAUACAUUAUGGAGC
rnacentral:piRNA from 1 species